UGGCCAGACUCCUACGGGAGGCAGCAGUGAGGAAUAUUGGUCAAUGGGCGGGAGCCUGAACCAGCCAAGCCGCGUGAAGGAAGAAGGCGCCAAGCGUCGUAAACUUCUUUUGUCGGGGAACAAAGGGCGCCACGUGUGGCGUUGUGAGUGUACCCGAAGAAAAAGCAUCGGCUAACUCCGUGCCAGCAGCCGCGGUAAUACGGAGGAUCCAAGCGUUAUCCGGAUUUAUUGGGUUUAAAGGGUGCGUAGGCGGUUUGAUAAGUUAGAGGUGAAAUACCGGUGCUCAACACCGGAACUGCCUCUAAUACUGUUGAACUAGAGAGUAGUUGCGGUAGGCGGAAUGUAUGGUGUAGCGGUGAAAUGCUUAGAGAUCAUACAGAACACCGAUUGCGAAGGCAGCUUACCAAACUAUAUCUGACGUUGAGGCACGAAAGCGUGGGUAGCAAACAGGAUUAGAUACCCUAGUAU
rnacentral:rRNA from 1 species